AUCUGCUAGUUCGUGUAAUCACCUUCUAUGCAUCUUUAACGUUUUAAGGUGCUUACUUGUUUUUUCCAAUCUUUCAGUUUGCUUGAUGUAAAUUCCAUGUGGGGUUUCCGUAGUCUCUUGGCAUUUUUUUUAUUUUAUGGAUUCAUAUAAAAUUCUAGUAAACUCUUCUCAUAACACAUCUCAUUUCUCUUUGUAUACAAUAUAUGACACAUGUGGUUGUCUGUACUCUCUAACUCCCAUUGUACCUCUGUCCCCCAUUGAAGUUGGCAGCAAACAAAAAAAAUCUUAAAUAAAAAAAGAGAUCAGCCACAUUUAGUGCAUAGUUAUUGAUAAUCUCCUCGUCACUUGUCAACCUACGUAUCCAUCUCAUGAACUUGUACUACUUAGCCUCUCACCGAUUUCAUGUAUAAAUUAUAUUUAUUAUAUUUAUCUUUGCAAUGGGUUUUUUUAGUAAUUAAUCUGUUUUCCAUGUCGAUACAUAUGCUCAAUUACGAAUUUCAUUCUUUGGUUAUGGAUGCAGAGAAAAAGGACUGGACCCAAAAUAUAUACUCAUUACAAAUGCUUGUCUAAUUUGAUGUUUUUAUUCAGUUUGACUUACAUCAUGAUUGAUAAAUGUUUCGAGUGCGUGCUGAAAACUAAUGUGUCAAGUGUCGACUUUUUCUCAGAUAUCCAAAAGCAAUUGAGAUUUAUGAAGAGAUAGCACAGCAAUCGCUCAGUAACAACUUGUUGAAGUAUGGAGUUAAAGUUCUUAAGGCUGGCAUUUGCCAGCUCUGCAAGAGUGAUGUUGUUGCAAUCAACAAUGCUUUAGAGCGGUAUCAGAAAUUGGAUCCUACACUUUCAGGAACACAUGAAAUUGCUAGCGGUAUGUUGCAGAUCACUAGCAUGUCUCUAAAUUUUCCGUUUUCACAUCUUUAUGUUUUGUUUUUCCUUCUUAAUGGGAAUGCAUGUUGUCCAGUUAUUUAUUAAUGAGUUUUUUGUAUUGUUUAAACUACUCGUGUGGUUUUUUAUUGCUUUUUAUAAUCUUUCAGCCGGUAUGUUUGCAAAUGAACUGGUAAUAUAUUAAUAUGAUAAAUUGAUAGGUGAACAUUUAUAGUAUACAUUGAUCAUAGGAUCUAGCUGUUGCUAUUGAUGAGGAAGAUAUUGACAAGUAUACUGGCGCUAUCAAGGAAUCCGAUAGCAUGACCCGGCUGGUAAUUGUGUUAAGCUGUCUAAUUUAUACUUUGAACUUGCAUUCAAAUCUCAAGUUGUGAAUUUGAAUUUAGUUGCAAAACUUUCUCUGAAUUCUUGUUGCCAGUUAACCUUAAAAUCAGCUUUUUGUGUAUAUUGACUGUAAGUCCCAAUAUUACUAGAUCAUCAUGUGUUGUAAAUGAGAUUUCAGCAAGAAAGGCAAACUUCUUGUUGAACCACAGAUACUUUUAACUAUUCUCUUUUCUAAAUUUUUUUUUAUGUUAUGAAGGAAAGGCUUGGGAAAUGUGAUGAUAGGGAGAAUAAAAAGAAAAGAAGGUGCUGGCUUUGAUUGGUGCCCAAGUGUGAAAUAAUUCAGCAAUAAAAUUUGCUACUCAUUCCCAUGGGGUGUUUUCUACCGAGUUUUGGCAUUCAAGUUCCAUUAGUCACUGAUAAAGCCAACAUUUUACCAGCAUCCCGUUCUGAUUUAUCAGCUGAAUUUUUUUCUCUGCUUUGGCAGUAACAUAAUUAUACUGUAUUUCUCCUCUCUUACACUGGAUCGUAGGAUGCUUGGAAGACGACUCGUCUAUUGAAGGUGAAGGAAGCCUUGAAGGCCACAGAACUCGAGGAGGAUGAUCUGACUUAAAAUUGCUCUCUAUUGGAUAUCGUUACUUCCCACACUUGCUACUGAUGAUUUUGUGAUGGAAAAUUCUUGUGGUAAUAUUCAGGUGGGCCCCCUCCAUGUGAGGAGGAGGAGGACACCCUUAUGUACCAAGUUUGAUGUACCCAUAGACCAACCCUUUUGUGAUUGAUGGUUGUCUAUUAUGAAUUUAUAUCUGGUGACGUCCCACCAUGAUAAUGAUUUAUCAGUAUUAUUGAAGAGCUGAAAAGCGAAGAUACAUCAUUAAUUUUCUUUAUUGCUUUGGAUCAAUUUGUUUGUAAAUUGUUCACAGGAAUAAUUGCAAUUGUGGUCCUCAACUUAUAGCUUAUAUGGCAAAUUUGUCUUUAACUU